rnacentral:lncRNA from 1 species
GACAAAGAUCAAAGUUUUUACUGUUCUUUCCUUCCCUGCCCAAGACUGUGCUAAGCAGCUUUCAGAUAUGACUUGUUCUGCUUCCUGUCUUCUGCUGGCAGUGGCAUUUCUUUAUCCAGGCAACGCAGGCCUCGGCAGUGACGUAACUUACCACGGCCGAGUUCUGUGGGCACAACUGGUGGCGACUUCAAAGGACAGAGGAGACAUCUUCAUUACCCUUUCUCAGAUAGAAAUGGUGGGCUCAGCAGAACCAUUCACAACUGUCUGACUCUCUUGAGGCAGGUCACAACUCUCUUACCUCAUCUGGGACCGCCAGAGCUGGUCGUGCCUGCUCCUGCAUUGCUGACCCAAAAGUGAACUUGGACUCCAAGUGGGCGCUCAGCAAACGUGUGUGGGACAAGACAGGACAUUCCCUGUACAGUACCCCGUAUGCUCGGGCCACAGAGCCAGCAUUGAAACUCCUGGGCAUUCAAGUCUGCCACGUUCCACCCAGCGGGAAAAAUUCAGAGCUGACAUUAAUUCAGGCCCCACAUACAUGAUUCUUACUGAGUAAGACAUCAAGACAAUCUCGCCCUUUGUCGGAACUGUGGGAGUCUGACUUACGCGUCGAGAGAAGCCAGUCUAAAAUCAGUCGCUUUUUGAAACCAUCGGCUUAAGAAAUUAAGGAUUCUGUCAGCGUGCCCUGAAUUCUGGGCCCAGCAAUUAAUUCCUCCUAGAUUAAAGGAUUGUUGUGUUUCUGAUACAUUAUUAUGCGGAGUGGGCUUGCUGUGAAUUUUAAAACUUUAACCAGAAUCCUCAUUAACUGGGAUCUUUUAUCUGUGUGCAACUCGUAGAAGAGGCCAGUGGCUAGAAAGUGAGCUGAUGCAUCCAAAAGAAACAGCAUUCCAGAGGGCGUCCUAAUGCACAUUCGUCCAGGCAGCUGUCCUCCUCCUGAUGGUAACAGGGCCAUUUACUCAUAACACGCCAGGCUCAGGCUGGACAUUGGACAUCACCCUGCUGAAUCCUCGCCCGCCCUAUCAGGUGGCCACAGUUAUUAUUAUCUCCAGUUUACAGGCGAGGGGACUGCGGCUGGUGAAGGGAGGUGAAGAGCCCUGCUCAGGCCAGUGGGUGGCCCAGGUCUAUGCGACCUCCUGGCCCCAUGCUUGACCCCACCUUACCCUGCACCCCCUUCUCCCUGGACAACAAUAAAGAUCGC